rnacentral:rRNA from 1 species
CAGUAGCGCGGGAAUACGUAGGGUCCGAGCGUUGUCCGGAAUUACUGGGCGUAAAGAGCUCGUAGGUGGUUUGUCGCGUUGUUCGUGAAAACUCACAGCUCAACUGUGGGCGUGCGGGCGAUACGGGCAGACUAGAGUACUGCAGGGGAGACUGGAAUUCCUGGUGUAGCGGUGGAAUGCGCAGAUAUCAGGAGGAACACCGGUGGCGAAGGCGGGUCUCUGGGCAGUAACUGACGCUGAGGAGCGAAAGCGUGGGGAGCGAACAGGAUUAGAGACCCGCGUAGUCCCUGUCUCUUAUACC